rnacentral:rRNA from 1 species
UACGUAGGGUGCAAGCGUUGUCCGGAAUUAUUGGGCGUAAAGAGCUCGUAGGCGGUUUGUCGCGUCGACUGUGAAAUCCACUGGCUUAACUGGUGGCUUGCUUUCGAUACGGGCAGACUGGAGGUAUGCAGGGGAGAACGGAAUUCCUGGUGUAGCGGUGAAAUGCGCAGAUAUCAGGAGGAACACCGGUGGCGAAGGCGGUUCUCUGGGCAUGUCCUGACGCUGAGGAGCGAAAGUGUGGGGAGCGAACAGG